rnacentral:rRNA from 1 species
AUACGUAGGGGGCGAGCGUUGUCCGGAAUGACUGGGCGUAAAGGGCGUGUAGGCGGUUGAAUAAGUCUGGAGUGAAAGUCCCGGUUUCAAGUUGGGAACUGCUUUGGAUACUGUUCAACUUGAGUGCGGAAGAGGUAAGUGGAAUUCCCAGUGGAGCGGUGAAGUGCGUAGAGAUUGGGAGGAGCACCAGUGGCGAAGGCGACUUACUGGGCCGUAACUGACGCUGAGGCGCGAAAGCGUGGGGAGCGAACAGGAUUAGAUACCCUGGUAGUCCACGCGGUAAACGAUGAAUGCUAGGUGUUGCGGGUAUCGACCCCUGCAGUGCCGGAGUAAACACAAUAAGCAUUCGGCCUGGGGAGUACGGCCGCAAGGUUGAAACUCAAAGGAAUUGACGGGG